UGGGGAAUAUUGGCACAAUGGGCGAAAGGCCUGAAUGCAGCAACGCCGCGUGAGUGAUGAAGGCCUUCGGGUUGUAAAGCUCUGUCUUUUGGGACGAUAAUGACGGUACCAAAGGAGGAAGCCACGGCUAACUACGUGCCAGCAGCCGCGGUAAUACGUAGGUGGCAAGCGUUGUCCGGAUUUACUGGGCGUAAAGGAUGCGUAGGCGGAUUUUUAAGUGAGAUGUGAAAACCCUAAGCUUAACUUGGGGACUGCAUUUCAUACUGGAAAUCUAGAGUGCGGGAGAGGAGAAUGGAAUUCCUAGUGUAGCGGUGAAAUGCGUAGAGAUUAGGAAGAACACCAGUGGCGAAGGCGAUUCUCUGGACCGUAACUGACGCUGAGGCAUGAAAGCGUGGGUAGCAAACAGGAUUAGAUACCCUGGUAGUCCACGCCGUAAACGAUGAGUACUAGGUGUAGGAGGUAUCGACCCCUUCUGUGCCGCAGUUAACACAAUAAGUACUCCGCCUGGGAAGUACGAUCGCAAGAUUAAAAACUCAAAUGAAUUGACGGGGGUCAUAGCUGUUUUUCCCU
rnacentral:rRNA from 1 species